UAGUCUGGGAACUGCCUGAUGGAGGGGGAUAACUGCUGGAAACGGUAGCUAAUACCGCAUAAUGUCGCAAGACCAAAGUGGGGGACCUUCGGGGCCUCAUGCCAUCAGAUGUGCCCAGAUGGGAUUAGCUAGUAGGUGGGGUAACGGCUCACCUAGGCGACGAUCCCUAGCUGGUCUGAGAGGAUGACCAGCCACACUGGAACUGAGACACGGUCCAG
rnacentral:rRNA from 1 species